rnacentral:lncRNA from 1 species
GCGUAUUCUCUUUCCUAGCGCUUUUGACAUUCGCACGAAUUAGUUGAAACUUGGCAGCGUUAUUUCUAAAAGCGCAAUUUUUGAUUUUAAGCGUGAAAAUGGCUGAGGAUACAUUGCCGUCUAAAAAACCAAAAACUUCCGAAGUGUGGAAUUUCUUUAAAAAAACAAGCGACAAAAAAAUUUGAAAAAUGUAACUAUUGUGGCAAAGAAUACCGCACUAGUAAUACCACAAAUUUAAAAGACCACAUUUCUAGAUGCUCCUCUAUCGCUUGUUCAAGCAGCACUGCUUCAUCAACUUCAGAAUCGUCAACCACUUGCAGCAGUGGUUCAGUGCAAAGUGCAUAUUUCACUAUCGAAUUUAAAUAUGAUUCGAACUCCGAGCGCAAAAAAAAAUUGAUGCCGCACUGGCUGAGUUUGUGUGUGUAGAUUUGCAACCAAUAUGCAUAGUAAAUGAUGCGGGUUUCAAAAAUCUUUUAAAAGUGUUGGACCCUAGGUAUGAAAUACCAAGCAAAAAUUAUUUAAAAGACAAACUCAUUUUCGAAAAAUACGAAUGUAUUAAGGCGUGCUUAAAAUUGAAAUUGGAAAAAAUUUAAUAUCUGGCCAUAACUUGCGAUAUGUGGACAUCCCGCUCAGGUGAUGCAUACCUACUGGUCAUUAUGUGGAUGCAGAAUUUGAUCUGAAGACUAUUGUUCUUUCAACAAGACUCUUAGUAAACGAAGAAAAUCACACAGCAGAAAAUAUUGCAAAAACGCUUGAUGAAGUAUUCACUGAAUGGUCCAUCAGCAACAAAAUCAUUUGCCUAGUUACCGACAACACCAGAAAUAUGAUCAAAGCAUGUGAAAUUUUAAGAAAAAGGCACUUAUCUUGUAUAGCUCAUUCCUUAAACUUGAUUGUGCAAGAUUGUUUGAGACUAGACGAAGUAAAAGGAGUGAUUACAAAAUGCAAAGAAAUUGUAACUUUUUUUUAAAAGUAGCUCGACUGCCAUGGCGAAAUUCAAAGCUGAGCAAAGUUCAAAUAGGCCGCUUAAAUUGGUACAAGAGGUAUGCAAUAGAUUGAACAGCUGUUUAUCAAUGAUAAAAAGGGUGCUAUUAUUGAAGGAUGAUUUAAAUAAAUGCCUUUUAAAUAUACCAAAGCACCCAAACCAUUGGAAAGCGGUGAUGCACGCCUUCUAAACGAGCUUGUUAAUAUUCUUGAUCCUUUUGACGAAGCUACCUUGCAUUUUUCUAGCAGUAAGAGCGUUACUUCUUCUUCAAUAAUUCCUAUUAUUUAUGGUUUAAUUGAAACAUUAAAAUUAAUUGAACAACAAGGGAUUUCAAGUGAAGGAAUAGCUUUUUUGUCGGCAAUUGUUUGUUCUACUGAAAAACGCCUUUUUUUAUACGAGGAAAGAACGUUAAUUCGCGUAUCAACGAUCUUGGAUCCAAGGUUCAAGAAAGAAGGUUGUAGAAGCGAAUUUAAUGCAAAUGAGGCGAGCAAGGCUUUAGAAAGGGAAAUGUUGUUGACAGCACUAAAAUUUAAAUCUUCUGCGACUGUUGGUCCCAGCACACCGGAGAUACAAGCAAAACUUCUCUUUUCCUUUCUAGUAAGUUGGAUCAAAAACAGAGAACAACAAAAGUCGAUGUAAUCCUGAAGAAGAGGCAGUACUUGGAGCAAGUCAACUCAGAGCCAAACACAAACCCGCUACUGUAUUGGAAGGUGUUACGAAAUCAGCUUGAGCCUCUUCCUGAUUUGGCAAAAAAGUUUUUUUGUAUCCUGGCAUCAUCUGUAGAGUCUGAAGGCACUUUCAGUGAAGCGGGCUUAAUUGCUGUUGCAAAAAAAUAAAAUUAUGUGAAAUAUUUUUCCUUUUUAAUCAAGUGCG